CGAUCCCAUGUUAGGCGGGAUUACCCACUGAGUUUAAGCAUAUUAUAAGCAGAGGAAAAUAUAUUUACAAUGAUUCCCUUUGUAACUAUGAGCGAACCAGGAAUAGCCCAGCCUUAGAAUCUGGAGGUUCCAUCAUCCGAAUUAUAGUCGGGAGAAGCAUCAUCAGUGGUAGACUGGGCCUAAGUCCCCUGGAAGGGGACGCCAGAGAGGGUGAGAGCCCCGUUGUGCCCAAACCCUAUCGUACUACGAGGCGCUAUCUAUGUGUCGGAAUGUUUACAAAUGCAUCCCAAAUCGGGCGACAAAUUCUAUCCAAGGCUAAAUACGGGCGAGAGACUGAUAGCGAACAAGUACCAUAAGGGAAAUAUGAAAUGGACUUUGAAAAGAGAAUCAACAAGUCCUUGAACUAAUUGGGAUAGAAGCAGAUGGGGACUAGCGAUAUGCCCCAAUCGGAUGUGGAACAACGAUAAGCCAAUUUGUUAAUUGACUCGAGGCAUGGACCAACGUGGAUUGGAGGAGCGUGCAUAGCCUGAGCUCUCAUUACACUUGUGGAAUGUCAUAUCCUCAAUUGUGAUAGGCAGUGCGCGCCUCUGUCUUGCUUUGGUAUGUGCGUGCUUCGGACGCUGGCCUGUGGGCUCCCCAUUAGAGCCGUCUUGAAACACGAACCAAGGAGUCUGACAUGUGUGCGAGUAAACGGGCGAGUAAACCUGUAAAGAAGCUAAUUAGUGGUACCCCCUGAGGCGUGCUCCGUCGACCAGCCUUGAUCUUCUAAGAAGGGUUUGAGUGUGAGCAUGCCUUUCAGGACCCAAAUGAUAGUGAACUAUCCCUGAGCAGGGCGAAGCCAGAGCAAACUCUGAUGGAGGCCCGCAAUGAUACUAAUGUGCAAAUCGUUCGUCUGACUUAGGUAUAAGGGUAAAAUCCUAAUUGAACCAUCUAGUAAUUGGUUCUGUCCAAAGUUUCCCUCAGGAUAGCUGAAGCUCGCGUGCGAGUUCUAUCGGGUAAAGCCAAUGAUUAGAAGCCUAGGGGGCACAACUCCAUCGACCUAUUCUCAAACCUUAAAUAGGUAGGACAGUUCGGAUGCUUUAUCAAGCCACGCCAUAAAACCAAGAGCUCCAAGUGGGCCAUUUUUGGUAAGCCAAACUAGCGAUGCAGGAUUAACCAAAAAUAGGGUUAUGGUGCCUAAUUGCAUGCUAACCUAGAUCCCAUAAAGGGUGUUGGUCGAUUAAGAGAGAAAGACGAUGUUCAUGGAAGUUGAAAUCCACUAAGUAGUGUGUAAUAACUCACUUGACGAAUCAACUAGCCCCAAAAAUAGAUUUCACUUAAGCGCGCAACCUAUACCCAGCCGUCGGGGCAAGUGCUAGGCCCCAAUAAGUAGGAGGGCACGGCGGUCGCUGCAAAAACCUUGGGAAUGAGCACAGGAUGAGAAGCCAUUGGUGCAGACCUUAGUGGUAGUAACAAAUAUUCAAAUAAGAAUUUAAAGACCGAAGAGGGGAAAGGUUCCAUGUGAAUGGUACUUGCACAUAGGUUAGUCGAUCCUAAGGGUUGGGGGAACCCCAACAAAUAGCGGGUUUCGCGUGUACUGCAAAAGAGAAUCGGGUUAAAAUUCCUAAAACAGGACGUGGAGAUUGAAGACAAUGUUAGGAAGUCCAAAGACGUCGGUGGGAGCCUUGGGAAGAGUUAUCUUUUCUGUUUAAUAGCCUUCCCACCCUGAAAUUGGCUCAGCCGGAAGCAGGGUCCAGCGGUUGGAUAAGCACAACACUUUGCGUGGUAUCCGAUAUGCCCUCGGCAUCCCUUGAAAAUUCAGAGGACCGAAUGUCAUCCACACUUGGUCGUACUCAUAACCGCGUCAGGUCUCCAAGGUGAACAACCUCUGGUUAAUUAAACAAUGAAUGCAAGGGAAGUCGGCAAAAUGGAUCCAUAAUUUCUGGAAAAAGAUAGGCUCUGAGGGCUGGGCAUGGGGGUCCCAGUCCUAAACACGUCGGCUAUCGAUGGAUGCUCAAGCUGCCCCUGCAGUGGAGUGGGUUGCCACGUGCCUACCGAGGGACGUACUAGGAACGGUUCCUUCGUGGGCCUUCCCCAAGGAUCGAACAUCCAACUCCGAACUGGUAAGAACAAGGGAAAUCUGACUGUUUAAUUAAAACAUAGCAUUACGAUGGUCCCAAUGGAUGUUCACACAAUGUGAUUUCUUCCCAGUGCCCUGAAUGUCAAAGUGAAGAAAUUCAACCAAGCGCGGGAAAAUGGCGGGAGUAAAUAUGACUCUCUUAAGGUAGCCAAAUGCCUCAUCAUCUAAUUAGUGACGCGCAUGAAUGGAUUAACGAGAUUCCCACUAUCUCUGUCUACUAUCCAGUGAAACCACAACCAAGGGAUUCACACAAUUGGUCAUCACACUUGGUUGAACAGCCAGUGGUGCAAAGUUACAAUGUGAUGGAUUAUGAUUGAAUGCCUCUAAGUCAGAAUCCGGGCUAGAAGUGAUGCAUGCACCAGUCGUCCACUUGCCGACCCGCAGUUGGGGCCUCGACCCCCAAGGGCACAUGUUGUUGGCUAAGCCAUCAUGGCGGAAGGGUCAUAGUGGCCUCCUUGAAGUAUAAUAUCCAUCGAGUGGUAGGUAGAAUCCUUUGUAGAUGACUUAUAUACGCGAUGGGGUAUUGUAGGUGGAAAAGUGGUCUUACAGCCAUGAUCCACUGAGAUUCAGCCCCUUGUCGCUUUAGUUCUU
rfam:Capsicum annuum cultivar Zunla-1 chromosome 2, whole genome shotgun sequence